GUUCGAUCUCACUAUGAACUAUGGUCCCCUGCAGUAGUUCCAUCACAAAUGGUCAUUGAUCACGCCCUUAGUACGUGUAGAAUAUUUUCCAGCUGAAUUUGUGAUUGAUGCUUCUGAUGUCUGUGAUAUUUUAGGGAUUUAACAAUCUCCACUGUGGAACCUCUUUAUUGUGUCUUUUUCUUUUGUUUAUUCAUUUGGAUAUUAUACCAAUUUAAGUCACCAUGUUUGCAAUAUACAGGC